UAAAUUCCAAAUUGUUGCUGAGGCAAAAAGUCGUCGAGGAGUUCGCUCGACGUUUUAAUUAAUAAUUCGUUAUUAAUUUCACGCAGAGUCGAUACAUCGAAAGCUCGACGCUCGAAAAGAAUAAAACUGUCGCUUCGUCAUCGCGUAUUCGUUCAUCUCUGGUCAAAAAGGACGAGAGUUGAACGCACACAUAACCGGAUCGAUUAUUCGCUCAUUGUUCGAUCGCCGAGUUUGAGGAAGAAACGCGGGUCCGGUGGCAGGAAAUAAAGGGCAGAUGUUCCGUAUCGACACGGCCGAUCGAAACUCGUCGUCCAUUUUGUGCCUUUGUCUUCGAAGGGCGAUGAAUAAUGUAUCAUUGUCGUACCACGUUGCAGAGAUAAGAGGAAAUUAAAUCGUUGGAGAACCGCUGCCGCCAACAUGUUCUCGAGAAAUGUUUCUUCCGAGCGACGAGCGAAUCUCGUAGUCGACAGAAAAAGAUCCGCAUCCGCGGGAGCAUCGUCGCAAAAGACGCGAUCUUCGAAGGACAGAAAGCCCAUAAAAAGCUGCGCGACGAAACCGCGAGGUUCCCGCGAGCAGCCGCUUCUUUCGCAAAAAAGAGUAAGAAGGUGAGCGACGAUGCGAGACACAAGGGUCGCCUGUGCGACGAGACGAGCGUCGCCAGCCCGGAUAACAAUGAUGCGAUUUACAUUUUACGGAAGGAAAUACACGACUGGAGAAUGUCCGGGCAAUUAGCGAACAGAUUUAAACGCGAACGGCGCGUUACCGAAGAUGAAACGGAGAAGAGUUCCGUUCAAGAAAGCUGCAGCCGAGUUAUCGCAAAGGACCUACAAGAUCCAGACGUUCUGCCCGAAUUACCGAGCUUGAUUGUCGUCGAUCGGUCAACACGAUGCACGUGAGUACACCUGUGUGUGAGAAUUUUCUAUGCAUUUUUUUAAAUACGUGUACAUGCACUUGCGUGAAAACUCGCGAAAGUUUCGCGGAAACGGAUUAUUAUUCUGGAUUUUU